GGAGGUGUGGCUGAGUGGUCUAAAGCACCUGACUUGAAAUCAGGCGUCCGGGUAACUGGACCGUGAGUUCGAAUCUCACCGCCUCCG
rnacentral:tRNA from 1 species